CUACGGGUGGCUGCAGUGAGGAAUAUUGCACAAUGGGGGGAACCCUGAUGCAGCAACGCCGCGUGGAGGAUGACGCAUUUCGGUGUGUAAACUCCUUUUAUAUGUCAAGAAAAUGACGGUAGCAUAUGAAUAAGCACCGGCUAACUCCGUGCCAGCAGCCGCGGUAAUACGGAGGGUGCAAGCGUUACUCGGAAUCACUGGGCGUAAAGGACGCGUAGGCGGGCUUGUAAGUCAGGUGUGAAAUCCUACAGCUUAACUGUAGAACUGCACUUGAAACUACGAGCCUAGAGUAUGGGAGGGGGGAUGGAAUUAGUGGUGUAGGGGUAAAAUCCGUAGAUAUCACUAGGAAUACCUAAAGCGAAGGCGAUCUCCUGGAACAUAACUGACGCUAAGGCGUGAAAGCGUGGGGAGCAAACAGGAUUAGAUACCCUUGUAGUC
rnacentral:rRNA from 1 species